GAGAUGCUCUAACAAAACAAUUC
rnacentral:snRNA from 1 species